GUGAAUUGCAGAAUCCCGUGAACCAUCGAGUCUUUGAACGCAAGUUGCGCCCGAAGCCAUUAGGCCGAGGGCACGUCUGCCUGGGCGUCA
rnacentral:rRNA from 2 species